rnacentral:tRNA from 1 species
UGGCCUAGUGCGUAGGGCACCAGCCUGGGAUUCUGGAGACCUGGGUUCUACCCCCAG